GAAAAAAAUUUCUAAAUCGAUAACUUUGAUCGAACUUCUAUCUCUUCACAAUUUAUUCCAAGUUGAAGCUCUCCCUAUUUGCGAUUUCCUCCAGAUUGAAGUUGGAUUCGUCAUGUUCGUGUUACGAUCUUGAAGAUUUCAUUGUGGCUACAUAACAAUUUAUCAUUGAGGAGAUUAUAUUUAAAAAUUCACCAUGGUGAAAUCUUAUACGAGACAUCUGUUUCUACUUAUGUUGGAAAUUGUGUGCCUACACUCAAGUAUAUUAUUGAGGACCACUUUUUCAUUUUGAAACUAGUUCAACAAUAGAACCUCCAAAAUCAAGGGAAAUGUUAGACAAACCUGACAAGAAGAGAGGAAAGAGUAAGGAAUGAGCUAAAAAAUAUAAAAAACUUUCAAGAAAAGGAGAAAAUAUGGUAUAUUCCAUAUGCAAGAAAACUGAUCAUAACAAAGAUGUGUGCGCAAAAUAUGGAAGGGGGAACACUUCUCAACCUGAAAGCCAGAGAAAUUCAAGCCAACAAAGUUAUUCUUAAAUAGGAGUAAGGAGUAAGAUUUGAUUUUGCAUAUUCAUUUGCAUUAAUUUUUAUUCUAUAAGUUAUUCAUAUCUCCUUAUUUUUGUUCAACAUGUUAAAACAUAAUCAAGUCAACAAAGUUUCGUUUGUGCUGAUAUUACAGUUGUGUUAAGAACUACUCAAACAACAAUAAGAUUUAAUAACUCAUUUGUUCUACAAAUUAUUCAUAUAUCCAUAUUUAUGCUACAUAGUCUACAAUGGGAGGCCUAUCACAUUUUACUUUCAGAAUCACAGAUGCGGCGACACAAUCAAGUUAUAUUUGUGCGGACACAAUAUUUAUGCCAAGAUCUCCUCAAAAUAGGAUUUAAGUUGGAACUGAAAGAGGAUUGAGAAGAAAACUAAUGCAAGAGGGAUCCCAUUUAUUACUGAAAAAAAAUAGUUUUUCUAAUCAACUACCACCUUUAUCAGGUCACAGGAAACCAUACAGUUCUGCCUCAUUUGUUGUUGCUACUGGAGGAAACAAAAGGCCAGCAACUAGUUUGAUGUUUACUCUGAUCCUACAACUGGAGCUCAAGUCUGUAAUGUAUGUUCACUUAAUGUGUUUACUUUGUUUUGAUGUAUAAUCUGAUAACCAUAUUAUGAUUUUACUUUAUGUUACACUUUUUUUUUCUUAUAUUACAACCUGAUACAUCAAGUGAGAUGAAUUUCAUGGGCCAACAAAAUUGAAGAGUGUUUCAUCAAUCAAUAUAGACAAUGACUUUAAACCCCGUGGCGUGAAAAAGAAAGAUAAAGAUGCAAUCAAUAUCUCACAGUUGCAAGAAAUGAAAACAAACACAAAAAAAACUUGGAGUAUUCAUUUGGAAAAUUGUUAUGACUUUGACCCAUGUUAAACAGGUCUUCAACAAGCUACUCUUUCGUCUAUUUUGAAAACUCAUGUAUUGUAUUUUUGAACCAUGCAAGACAAUGGUUUUGAAUAACA